CGAACGCUGGCGGCGUGCCUAACACAUGCAAGUCGAACGAGAAAGUUUCCUUCGGGAAGCGAGUAGAGUGGCGCACGGGUGAGUAACACGUGGAUAACCUGCCCUAUGAUCUGGGAUAACCGACCGAAAGGACGGCUAAUACCGGAUAAGCCCACAGAGACCUCGGUCUCAGUGGGAAAAGAUUUAUCGUCAUAGGAUGGGUCCGCGGCCCAUUAGCUAGUUGGUGGGGUAAUGGCCUACCAAGGCAACGAUGGGUAGCUGGUCUGAGAGGAUGAUCAGCCACACUGGAACUGAGACACGGUCCAGACUCCUACGGGAGGCAGCAGUGGGGAAUUUUGCGCAAUGGGGGAAACCCUGACGCAGCAACGCCGCGUGAAGGAUGAAGGCCUUUGGGUCGUAAACUUCUGUCAGAGGGGAAGAAAUGCCCGCAAGGGAGCUGACGGUACCCUCAAAGGAAGCACCGGCUAACUCC
rnacentral:rRNA from 1 species